CUUCUUUCAGCUUUAUCUGCAGAGUCAUCAAUUAAAUAUGCCAGAUGAAGAGUUUGUGAUGGAGAGCGCUUGCUGGAUCAAACCCAAGAAUGAAAGAUGGAGUAUCUGAAGCUGGACCAGAGAAAUAUUGAUUAAAUUUACCUGGGAGAAGCAAAUCAGAAAAUUGUGGUUGACUAGGGCAGAGAGAAGAACCAAAGAAAAGGAGGAGCAAAAAAGGAAGAAAGACCCCAGUCAUGCAAAAUCAAAGAACCUGAAACCAGAAGACUUUUACCAGGCUAGUAUGGUUCUUCCUGCAUUGGGUGUAUACACUGACGCCCUAAGGCCUCAUUAUGGGUUAUGCUUGAGCUGAAUGAGGAGUUUGUUCUCUGAUAGGAAAAAGACCUAGAAAGUAUCGAAGAAGUCUCUUAAAGACAGUUCCGAGUUCAUACCAUACUCCAUUCAGGUGCCUGAAAUGUAGAAAAAAAAAAAAA